rnacentral:siRNA from 1 species
UAGAAACAAAGCUUAACACUAAUA